AGAACGAACGCUGGCGGCAGGCCUAAUACAUGCAAGUCGAGCGCCCAGCAAUGGGAGCGGCGGACGGGUGAGUAACACGUGGGAACAUGCCUUUCGGUACGGAACAACUCAGGGAAACUUGAGCUAAUACCGGAUGUGCCCUUCGGGGGAAAGAUUUAUCGCCAUUGGAGCGGCCCGCGUCUGAUUAGCUAGUUGGUGGGGUAAAGGCCCACCAAGGCGACGAUCAGUAGCUGGUCUGAGAGGAUGAUCAGCCACACUGGGACUGAGACACGGCCCAGACUCCUACGGGAGGCAGCAGUAGGGAACCUUGCGCAAUGGGCGAAAGCCUGACGCAGCCAUGCCGCGUGAAUGAUGAAGGUCUUAGGAUUGUAAAAUUCUUUCAGCGGGGACGAUAAUGACGGUACCCGCAGAAGAAGCCCCGGCUAACUUCGUGCCAGCAGCCGC
rnacentral:rRNA from 1 species